AUACUUAACUGGCAGGAGUGACACCAUGAUCAUGGAGGUGGACCACUCAGGGAGAGACUCACCCAAUGCACUCUAGGCUGUUCUGACCUUUGCGAAUUCCCCAAAUGUGGGAAUCUCGACUGCACAAUUUCUAGGGGUGGGGGACUGCGUUCGCGCUCUCCUCUA
rnacentral:snRNA from 1 species